rnacentral:rRNA from 1 species
AGAGUUUGAUCCUGGCUCAGGACGAACGCUGGCGGCGUGCUUAACACAUGCAAGUCGAACGGAAAGGCCCUUCGGGGUACUCGAGUGGCGAACGGGUGAGUAACACGUGGGUGAUCUGCCCUGCACUUUGGGAUAAGCCUGGGAAACUGGGUCUAAUACCGAAUAUGACCAUGCGCCUCCUGGUGUGUGGUGGAAAGCUUUUGCGGUGUGGGAUGGGCCCGCGGCCUAUCAGCUUGUUGGUGGGGUAAUGGCCUACCAAGGCGACGACGGGUAGCCGGCCUGAGAGGGUGACCGGCCACACUGGGACUGAGAUACGGCCCAGACUCCUACGGGAGGCAGCAGUGGGGAAUAUUGCACAAUGGGCGCAAGCCUGAUGCAGCGACGCCGCGUGAGGGAUGACGGCCUUCGGGUUGUAAACCUCUUUCAGCACAGACGAAGCGCAAGUGACGGUAUGUGCAGAAGAAGGACCGGCCAACUACGUGCCAGCAGCCGCGGUAAUACGUAGGGUCCGAGCGUUGUCCGGAAUUACUGGGCGUAAAGAGCUCGUAGGUGGUUUGUCGCGUUGUUCGUGAAAACUCACAGCUUAACUGUGGGCGUGCGGGCGAUACGGGCAGACUUGAGUACUGCAGGGGAGACUGGAAUUCCUGGUGUAGCGGUGGAAUGCGCAGAUAUCAGGAGGAACACCGGUGGCGAAGGCGGGUCUCUGGGCAGUAACCGACGCUGUGGAGCGAAAGCGUGGGGAGCGAACAGGAUUAGAUACCCUGGUAGUCCAA